ensembl:lncRNA
GUCGUUUUUGACAUUUUCAGGGGUUGUACUUUAACGAACUCCUCCUAGAGAUUUAUUCAGAUCAACACCAAACUUUGUCAGUGUAAUCUAAAGGCCUUUGCGAUGUUAAAUUGCGAAGAUCUUGAGGUUUCGUUUAAGGGCCGUGUCCAUGGCGGCCUGACAAAUUUCGAUGUUUCGCCAUGAAAAAGGAAAAUGCUCUAACUCAGACAUACAAUGUCCAAUCUGCCCCAAACUUCACAUGUUAGAUAUGACUUCUGACCUGAAAAGAUCUACGUGCCCAUAUUCAGUUAUAGUCAUAGCGCCACCUGCUGGCAACAGGAAGUGUCAUGUUUUACGCUGUAACAAACUACUCCUAGAAAUUUUAUGACAUCAAUAUUUUUUUCUGGUCAGUCUAGUCUAAAGGCCUUUGCAAUAGUGAAUUGUGGAGAUCUUGAGUUUUUGUUAAAGGGCGUGUCCAUGGCGCUGUGACACAAUUUUAUGUCUCGCCAAAGGAAGAGAAGUUGGUGUAACUCAGGCAUAAAAUGUUUGAUCUUCCCCAAACUUCACAUGUUCGAUAAGAGUCCU